UCUGCCGCGCGCCGCCGCGUCGGCAAGUCUCUUGCGUGCCCUCUUUCUCGAAACUAUUUCUAUGAAGGGGUAAUGCGCAUUAUACGUCGCGAGUGAACCCUCAACGCCACCCUGCUUCUGCUACGCAGGUGACGCGAAAGAGCAGUGUGCAAAGUUGCGAUCGUACCGCGACGUGUCGGAAUUCUGCCGGUGAACACCAUGUGCAUUUCUCUGGCGCACGAGACCCGUCACCCGGUUCCAGUUAUGCAAUACCUGACGCGAAAAUUACUGGAACUUCUGCCCUGAAUUAUUGCUGUAUCAAGUUGGACAAGAAAAUAGAGGCAGCGAAGAUAUGAACACAAAUUAUAGCCGCGACUGAGGAAAAUGCGUUUGAUGCGUAAUUUUUUCAUAUAAAAAAAAAUGAACGAUCGUAAUUACCAAUAAAUAGCAUCUUAGGCUUCUACUAAAAACUUAUCUACACUAGUAUUGUAAAUGCGAAAGUAACUCUGUCUGUCUGUUUGGCGCUCAUAACAAAAACCAUUGAACCGAAUUUUAUGAAAUUUGGUGAAACUACUUUUUACCUAUAAAACCUGACGACCAAUACACUAAGACGCAAACGAAGCCGCGGGCGAAAGCUAGUGGAUGAUAAAUUAAAUAAGCUUUAAAUAUAUCUAACUUUAUUGAUGAAUUUAACUCUCAUAACUAUUGUUAUUAAUAAUGUUGUUUCCAACGAAUGAGGGAAUAUGAUAAAUUCUACGACACUACCCAUUUCAAAGACAUCGACUAUUGACUUUUGAAUAUAUCUUUAUUUGAGUUAAGUAUUAACUACAAAACUUUGCCGGUACAAAUAGUAAUAUAAUUCUGUUGUAUUGCUGAAUUCCGGAUUUAAGACUUAGUAAGCAACCCUUAUAACGGGCAAAAAGAACAUUUCAUUUUAAAUGUUUUGUAUUGCAUAUAUUAUUCUUGAAAUUUGACUGGCCCCUAGCAUAUAAGGCUUCUGAUACCGAUGUCCUGGGAUCACAAACCGUUUUGGACCAGUUAAAAGAUAUUCUGUCGAGAAAUUUUCACUGGCAAUCUGGAGUCUGAAAAUUGCCAGCGUUUACAUUCCCGUGUCGAGGAAUGUACAUGAAAGCUGUUGAGUCUGAACUCCUUAACUUCUGAACUGUAUUCGGUCGUGUCGGUUUGGUUUUUGGAAAUUUAAAUUUAGAUUAUCCUGUUAUGUGGUCUUCUUAAUUCGCCUUUUUGAUUAUCUGUCUAUAUGAGUACAAGUGCAUAUCUUGGGCAUAUAUUGAGAACACGCCAGUUUCAUAAGACACUUAUGCGUUUGAUAAAACUAUUUUAUGUUGUUAUUAUUAAUACCUCGAACAAUGAUGUCAACUUAAUUAGAUACGUGUUAUAUAAUAAGUGCUGGUACAUGUUGUCUCAGACAGUAAAUUAGUAGGUAGAUUUUUUAUUUAAAAUUUAAGUUUUACUUGCCAGGUUUUAGAGACGUUAGAUGUGGAAAACCCGCUUUACCAAGUUACGUCCAAUUAAAUACCAUGGAAAUACACAUAAAUAAUGCGUUUUGCAUAUUACGCUAUUUAAGUAAUUAAAUUAAACACCUAUAUUAAAAUGUGACCACGUGUCAAUAUUAUUAAUGUGUGCAAAGAUUAUAAUAUUGUUAAUACAGAUUGAUUUUUGCAGAACACAAUAUAUUACUUCGUUCAAAUAAGAACGGAUGGACAGUUUUUUUUUUUGUUUAAAUAAAACAUAGCUUCCUCAUACCAAAUAGUCCGAAUUAAUUGAUUUGAGCCUCCGACUUUGAAUUGAACUCCAGUUCAUAGAUUGAUCGAAUUGAUUUAUCGAAAUUUCAAGACACGACUUCCGUUGUAAUAUGAAAUGUGUUUGUAUAGCCUAUUCCAAUUGAAGAUGAAGUAAAGAUAAACACACCUAACUGUUACUUACAUAUUUCAGGCGAUUUCUUAAUAACUUUGCUAUAUUACGCACUAAAACAGUUCGUCUAUAAUAUAUCUUUAUCUAAAGUAAUCCACUUAACUUCCAUACACUAUACCAUAUACUUCAAUUCAAUGUUAAAGUUUUUUAUUUGUCUUUUCUCCUCCUGUGGUUGGAAUAGGUACAGUUAGUGUUUACAGGUGCGGACGAUUGUCAAGCAUAAGAGAAACCUCCAGAUUGAGGUCCACAUUAAGGUCGUCGUCUUGGGGCUUCCAGAACUUCCAGGAUCCAGAUUCUUUGCAAAGGAAUUAAGAAACGAAGUCGUUUUUCAAAUUCCAAAUAUAUAUUUUUAGUACUCAAGUUUUAAAAAAUAAUGUGUAUAUUUGUUUUGGUCAGUUCAAACAUGUCUAUAAAAUAUAUAUAAAAGUUGAGUCUAUUUAACAGACGAAAUUAAUUUUAUUGAAUAUUUAACUUUAAAAAUAACAUCAAUAAUUUUAACGAAGAACCUUGUCCGAACCACUUAACGAACGAAAUAAUCUGACGAAAUGGACUUCCGUUUGCAUCAUCCUGUCAAAUCUAUAAUUGAAUUAGAAUUUCGUUAGCUUCAUUUUGGUACAUAUAGUAAGUAAGUUAUUAAAAUAUACGGAACAGAAAAACCUAACUUUUCAAGAUAAUUGUGAGAAGACUAAGAAUUUAUCUAAAUAUGAUAAGUAAAUAAAAUUAUUUCGCUCAUAUUAAUUUAUCCGAAUCAGUAGAGCCAUCUCUUUGAACAAAAACGAAACUCACCGCAGAAUACUUUUGUAAAAUAACAAAAAGUGUAAUAUUUUGUUAAAUUGUAAUGUCAAAAGACCGGUAUCGCCGGUAGGUAGUUUUCAAUAUUUAACAAAUGAGGUACGGUUCUCAGAGAAUAGUAUUGUGGUUAUGUAUUUUAAGAAUAAAGUCACAGAGUGCAGGUAUCAAGCAGUAUUUGUUUUAAGGUUUUGAUUUAUAUUUAGCAUCGGAAAUAUUU